GAUUUAAUUUCAAUUAAAAUUUUAUUAAUAAAUUAAAUAAAUAUAAUUUUUAUUUAUAAAUUCAGUAAAUAGAAAACAAAGUAAUUUCGUCGCUAAUUCCCGAUGUAUUAACGAGGAAAAUUAACGACGAAAUAUCGAGGAACAAUUAUCGAGGAUUUUACGUGGAUUUACUUACGAUUCUAUUACGACGAAUUAUUUUCGUGUUUCUUACGUUUUUAUUACGACGAAUUUAUUUAGAGGUUUUUGCGUGUCUUUUACGACGAAUCAUUUACGAGUUUCUUACGAGGAAGCACAACGACCGCGUUACGUGGAAACCCCACGUGGUCUUUACGACGAAAACUUAAUUCUUCUUUACGAGGAAAAUAUAACCUCGCUAAUUAACGAGGAAAUGGCGACGAAUCUUCUCUUACGACAAUCAUAUAACGACGAAACGCCUUUCAUCGCCAUUUCCUCGUAAGCCUUCUUUUCCGAGGAAAUAACGACGAUUUUGGCCGUCGUUAAAUUUGUGUUUUCUUGUAGUGAUUCCGGAUGUUGGUGUUGUGUUUGUGUAUCUCUCUUCUUGGUGGCAGGUAGAAUAGAAAUUCAUUGUCAUCUUUAUCCCGAUGAAUAUGGAUGUGGCGGGUUUUAAUUUCCCGCUUGUCCCUCGUUUGAAUCAGUCUUUUUUCCUAAUAUUUCUUCUUAUAUGGAGUAAAUUGGAUGAACAAGUUUCGUUGGUAUUGCAAAGAUUUUCCUCCCAUCGAAUGCUCUUCUCUGCGUAUGGUGCAGUGUGUGUUGUCCUACGGGUUACACUAGAUGCGGUCUUUAAAGAAGCUUAUGAUGUUGUUGUGGUACGAUUUCAUAUGGCUCCUUCUUGUGAUUUGUAUCGUCAUUCUAUCCCUUAUGUUGUUGUUGUUGUUUGUUUGGCUGUUAAUAGCCUUUUUGUAUCCUCCUUUGUUGGAGUGUAAACACAUUUAAAAUUAAUGCAAGUUUAGUUUGAUCAAAAAAAAAAUGUAUUAAUGAACUUAGAUUAGUGGAAUAAUCUUAGAAAAUGAAAUUUUAUGUUAGAAGUUUCGUGAACAAAUCGAACAUGUUUAUAAUAAAUAUUUAGGUUGUUGGAUUCAACAUAAGUUAGUCUUCACAUGUCCUCACAUAGGGAUCAGUAAUUCAAGGGAAGUCUAAUCUAAUCAAGUUGUCUGAGUUCGAAUAAUUACAUUUCUUUGCUUAGCAAUCAUUUUGAUGAUCUAAGUUUUUUGAGAAUUACCCGCUGCCAAAGGUUUUAGUUUAUAAAUUUAACUCUCAUUUUCAUUACUUCUUUUACAUUCUCUUCUACAAUUUUUGUUCAUUCUAGCUCUUCUCUUCUCCCGUAGAUCGGUAGUGUAACCUUUAUCCGUGAUGAUUCGAACCCUAAAUACUACCCCACAUUGUUGUGUGGUAGUAUAGCUAGUCCAACUCAAAAAUGUUUAGCUUUAGAGUUCUCUUUUGACAAGUGACAAAAAAAAUAAAUGCACUUUGGUGACAUAAUCAUAUCAACUUUUUAAGAUUUCUACACAUGCACCACCAUAUACAAGAAAUGAGAUGUUACAGUCAUCCCACUCACAUAGCACAACUACUUCAUUUCGUACCAAGACAGUUACCCCUAAUUAACUAAUAAUUUAUUAAAAUAAAAAUAUGAGUACAUGUGAAAAAUAAAUUCAUGCUUGUAGUUAAAUCAUAAACACACAAAAAAAAAUAUUAAGAUGAAACAUAACAACAUAACUCUAUACAUACGUGGAUUUCUAUGUAAAAUUCAAUUUCAUUAACUUAUACCUUAAUACACACGUUCAUAGAAAUAGGUCACAUUUCUUUUUCGAACAAAGGAUAAUUCUAUAUAGAUUGGAAAUCUGAAAGCCAAAUCGGUGGAACUGAAUAUAUAUCAUAGAAAAAGAAAACAAAUUCCUAGCACCAUGUAUAAGUUUAUCAGUCAUUAUAUAUAUGUAUUUUUGCAUUUGGAAUAUGUUAGAUUGCAAUAUGAAAAAAAAAUCCUUACAUCAUUGAAAUUCUUUCAACUAAGUAAUUAAAGCUGGGCAUUCGGUUGGUGUAGACACCAAAUGAGAAUAGUCCGGUGAGAAUACCACAUCCGUGAUACGUAUGAUCUUCAUGCACUACAUUAUCCAUAUAAAAAUUUCAUAUUCUGCAUGUAAAUAUGAUAACUUCUUCGGGUAUUCAUGGAUCCCAUCAUAUUGUCGAUUAAACCUUCUUUGCUGCAAAAUCAUACUUCAUUGUGAAGAUAUUUUAUUUAUUUCCAAACUCCAUCUACAUAAAAUCAUCAGAUAUCUCCCAUAUUCUGACUUGAGUGAUAUGCAAUAUCCUCAUGUACGCUUUUUAAAUUGUUAAUUUAUGUCUAAGCCCACAUAACUUUUUUUUUGUAAACCAUUAAGUGUCUGGGCUAAUAUCGAAUAUGGCGUAAAGCAUUCAUCCCAACGGAAAUCGAAUUAGGAGUGCAAUGGAACUUACUCCAACGACUAAACCACUAGCUCAACCUACCGUUGUUAAAUCCACAUAGCUUCCUCGAACCCCAAAAUAAAAAUAUCGAUCAGUAAAAUUAUAAUAAAUAAUCUAUAUAUCUUCUACAAAUGAUAUAUAUACAAAAUUUACUUAAGUGAUUUCUAUUUUAAUAAAUAUAGAAUUUUCAAAUUAUUUUAGAUUAUACGCAAAUAGUUAAAGAAAUCAUUCAUAAUAAUCAGAAAACAAAACUUGCAAUCUUGUAUGUAGUCAUACAUAUGAUAAGAGUCAACCACAAAUUUGGUAUUUUCGUUUUCAAUUUCAGUAAUAUAUCUAUACUUGUUGACCAGAACCAUACUUUUUUAGUCAGAACUUUGAAUUAUUUUAUAUUCCAAAAAGACAACUAAAUUAUUAAGUUUACCAUAUUUAUAUCAUAUACCAUUGGUGUAAGAAAUUUUUAAGCACCCAGAUUUCAGAUUUCAAGAUAAGGUCUAAGAAAUUUCCGCCUCUCUUUCUCUGCGAGGAGCUUACCUUUUCUUGUUGCCGUAUCGUAGAACUUGCUAGAAAAAAGAAAGCGAAGAUGAACAAUUCGGAAAAAGAAGUUAAAACAGAAGCUGAUUCUUCUUCAUCAGACCAUCCUUGUCCUUUGGCUCUUGUCACGGCUUCGAAUGUACGCAAAGCUACUCAGUGUCGGGAACGACGUCCUCCAACUUCCCCAAGCCAAAAACAGUUUAUGAAGUUAAAACUUGCACAUGACAGCCUCAUAAGAGGUAGACAGGUGAGUUCUAAUUAACAAUCAACUCUUAUUCCAGAUGGUUAAUUAGUUUAAACAAUCAACCCUAAUUUGGUCAUGUUACUUUCUCUGAAACUAAUCUUACGAAACCUCUUAAACAUUUUUCAGUAUCUUUCAGUGCCAUUUAUGAGAGCAAAUGGCAUGACCAAACCAGGGCUGAUAACUCUGGUAGGAAAAGAUGGUGUAAAGUGGAAAGUGAAUCUAAAAGAGGAGGGAUCCGGAAGCGCACUGUGUCUUGGAACGGGGUGGAAAGAGUUUGCUAAAGCAAAUGGGUUAAAGACGGGUGACUACUUCACCUUGGAGUCAGCAUGGAAAAAUGAAAUUCCUAUGCUCAGCUUGGUCAACACAGAGUCUGCCAGUGACAGAAAGGAGAGAGGAGAGUCUUCAAAAGCCAUGGAGAAAGAGAGAAGUACUGAUACAUCUUCAAUCGUCCAAAACCGAGUAGUGACAUUGGCCCUUGAAACUAAAGAUGUCAAAGCAUGUACAUUGGUAAGUUUAUUAAAAUAAAUAUUGCAAAGAGGUGGAUUAGAAAUUUUAUCUGAAAUUAUAUAUUUUGCAGAAUCUUCCAAGUGAAUUCGUGACAGCUAUUGGCAUCAAGAAGCUUGGAAAGAUAACCUUUCUUGGUAAGGAUGGAAUGAAGUGGUGGGGAUGUCUUCUGUCAGGAAAUGGAUCCGUAGCUGUUGGAAUUGGUUGGAGAAAUUUCUGUGAGGCUAAUGGUGUAAAGUUAGGUGAGUCAUUCAGCCUGGUGCUCAUUAACGAAGAAGAGGACACAGGUCCGAUAUUCAAGUUCUGUCCCAACUCCGGAAACUAAGAAAAAAUGUUUUUAUUAAAAGCAUUUGAAUUGCCAUUAGUCUUCCCUUUCAAACAAAUACCUUUUCGUUUGUUAUGUUGUUUUGUUCUGAUAUAAUUUCAUAUAUGUAUCUCAUAUAUUUUCAUGAAACUUUGACUCAUGUUAUUGGACAAGCUGUCUCUUGUCCAAGUUUGUUUGCUAUUGAACGUGGUAAACUUUCAUCUUAUCUUAUCGUUUAACGUAAGUUCAAACAACUGUCUUUCGUUUAUCAGUUUUUUGGAAUACCCUAACACUUUCUCAUAUUCCAUAUGUGAAACUUUUUAUAAGUCUCUGUCCGUUUGAUAUCCUAAAUCAAGAAAGGAUAAAUCCUAAUCUGAAUCCAAAUCCCAAACUCUAAAUUUUAUAGCCUAAACUAAAAUUUUAAAACUUUCAUAGUGGCGAGACAUAUAUGAGUAAUCUUAAAUAAAGGAAAGUUAAAUGCUAAACUCAAACCUUAAACCAUAACAAUACAAUAAAAGAGUAUUAAGCUGACAAAAGAAAGAUAAACUUUGAGCAUUACUAAACCUAAAACCAAAUCUAAAAAAUCAAUCUUAAAGUUGAGUUGCAGUAUAUUUUUUUAUCAUCAAAGUUGAGUUGCAGUAUAUUUUUUUAUCAUCAAAGUUGAGUUGCAGUAUAUACGGUAAUUUGAUAUAACUUUGAGUAAUAAUUAUAGGGUAAAGACUGUAAAUUAUAUAGUAAAUUUGUAAUAGAAAUAUGAGUUACUUAUUUAUUAAAAUAGAUGAUGGUAACUUUUUGUUAUAGAAUAUGAGUUAAGUUUUAAAGAAUAUGAGUUAAGUUUUAAGUUAAAAUAGAUUAUCACUUACAAAUAAUAAAAAUAUAAAUAAUAAUCUAAAUGUGACAAGAUAAUGUUGAUCAAUUACAAAUAAUAAAAAUAUAAAAUUUUAAAACUAAAAACACCAAAUGAUAUACUUUCUCCAUUUCAUAAUACUUGAUGUUUCGUAGUAAUACACAAAGAUUAAGAAAAUUAAAUUUCUCUAAAAAAGUAUUAUAAAGAUAUAAUUUUAAAAUCAAUUAACCUAUUAUAAAAGAGACAGUAAAAUAUAAUAGUAAAAUCUACUUGGUUGAACAGUUUCCGAUAAAGUUAAAAUUCAUCUUAAAAUCUCAAAACUUCAUGUAAAUUGAAACAAAAUAGUCUUUCUAAAACAUCAUCUAUAUUGAAAUAUGGGGAUUAUAAUUUUACAUUUGGUAUAAAAUUUGAUGUCAUUAUUGAAGAAGACAAAAAAUUAUAACUUCAAAACACUAAAUUUGGCGUAAUUUUUACAUCAAAUUUGGUGUCAUUGUUAUAGAUGCUAUAAAUAUAGUGAAAGAAACAAGAUAUACAAUAAAUAGGAGAACCAAACGUCGUCUUCUAGUUGGUUUAUUAAAUUAUUUUCUCCAUGGGAUUGCAGAGUAGAGUUCUUAAAGCCUUCUGAAGCUUCCGAAAAUGGUGAUUAAGCAUUUCUUCAAGCCUCUUCUUCCUGGCUUCCACAGCCACUUGACAAUUCCUGUAGCCUUCUUGAAGUAUAUAGAAGGAACAAAUGGGCACCAUUCGGCGAAGCUGAGAUCAGACGCGUCAAAGAUAACCUGGGAAGUGAAAAUAGAAGAUGGCCGGAGACUGACUAAUGGUUGGAAAGAGUUCGCUCUUGCGCACGAUCUCCGAAUCGGCGACAUUCUCAUUUUCAGACAAGAGAAAGACAUGGCUUUCCACGUGACACUCUUGGGACCUAGUGGCUGUGAGAUUCAAUAUGAGUCGUGUUCAGAAGAAGAGAACAAUAUCGGUGAGUUGUGUUCUGUCUCCGUCUAACUCUGCGCGUGACAAUGAAUCUUUGACUGAACAAUAUCGGUGAGUUGUGUUCUGUCUCCCUCUUGUUUUGUGGCUUAUGUCUCGCCCGCGACCCUACGUCAUGACAAACUGGUAUUCUACUGCUGAUUUGAACAAAAUAAAAAUACUCAAAAUGAUUGUGAUGCUGAAUUUUCAGAAUCUUCCAAGGAGUUUUGUAAGGGCAAAUGGUCUAGAGAAAAGAUGUGGAGAUAUUGUUGUGAUGAAUGAAAAGAGUAAAUCAUGGACGCUGGCUUUGAAACAAGAGCUAUGUAGAAAUAGUUAGAGCAUCUUCAACGCAAAUAUCCAACUUGGGUUUCCUAUUUUUUUUUUCUAAUUUUAAAAAAAAAUUAAAAAUGAAUCAAAUGGGGCUGCCACGUGUCAGUGAGACCCGCAAAACAGUGCAAAAUACGUCGCAGAGAAAACCGUCUCUCCCUUUUUGGUGGACCCCACACCACCUUUUCCCCUAAAAACCCUCAUUGCAUCCCGCGUUGAGGGUGCUCUUACAUCUAGGGAUGUUAACAUGGGUAAUUACCCAUGGGUUUACCCAAACCCAAUAAAACCCAAUAACAAUGGGUUGGGUUUUAACCCAUCUAAGAUUAAUUGGGUCAACCAUGGGUAUUAAUUUUAAAACUCAUAUUUAUGUUGGGUAAAUACAAAAGGGUAAUGGUGUACCCAUGAGUUUUCAAUUAUAUAUAUAGAUUUUGACCAUUUCAAUUAAAUUAUAUAAAAUUUGCAAAAAUGUUUUUUUUUCGUCAGAACCAAAAAAUAAAUU